AAAUAUUGAUCUGUGGGGUGGUAUGUUCCUUGUUUCUAUGUGUGCUCUCAGAUUUAACUGUUCUCAGUCACCCUUCCUAUUUCCCAAGUCUUGCACUAUUUUGCAGGGCCAUGUCAUAUUCAGCAGAAUUCAGCCAGAGUCCAGCAUGAGCUGGCAGAUCCAUGAUCUCUAGCUCAGAUGGAAGUGCUUCUGUUCCCAGUGACAGCAUUGCUAGGAGGUUACAAAAGUCUCUGAAAAAUCUCAACUGUUAAAUUGCUUUCAAGGACAAAGCUGGUUGCCUUCUGAUGACAUUCUGAGAAGACUUGGUGAAAUUAGUUGGUGACUCCACUGCUGAGCUCCAGUGGAAAGGAACAAGUGUCAGCAUUGCAAAAGCACCUCCACAAGUACAGUUCCUGGAAGCAGGAGCAAUGACCCUGCAGACACCACAGACACCUGUUCCCUUUGGCUCUGACAGUGUCUCUGCAGUCAGGAUAUGCUUCUCUGUAGGAAUAGUGGCCUAGUGGCCUGGUGAAACUUGCUUGAAGUGUUGGUCCGUUGUGUGGAAAGAGACAUUAUUUCACAACACUGGCCCUCAUCUCUCUGGAUAUCAGGUAUGCUUUACUGUGAGUGGCAUGUGAAUCAAGAUUUAGAACCAGAACCAUAGAACAUCUCAAGCUGGAAGGGACCCAUAAGGAUCAUCAAGUCCCACUCCCUGCUCCUCGUAGGACUACCUGAAAGUAAACCAUUUGACUGAGUGUCAUCCAGAAGCUCCUUGAAGGUCUUGGUGCUGUGACCACUUCCCUGGGGAACCUGUUGCAGUGAUUAACUACGCUUUCAGUGAAGAACCUUUUCCUAAUGUCCAAUCUGAACUUCUCCUGAUGUAGCUUCAUUCCAUUUCCUCAUGUCUGGUUGCUGGUUGCCAGAGAGAGGAGAUCAGCAUCUCACACUCCACUGCCCACAACUGCCCUCAUUUGUGUGCUUGGGAUCAGUUUCUCCAAGUUCAUUUGUGCUAGUUGAAUUGUUCCUUCUGCAUUACUUACUGUAACUGUUUCACGGUUCUAAAGAAAUGAGCCUGUUAGAAACUCUUCCCCAUAAUAAUGUCUUUGCCUGCAGACACAUUCAAGAACAACAGGAAUCACAAAGUUGUCAUGUUGUGAGUUUGGUGAAAGCAGGCAGUUGAGGAACACUAUAAUCCAGCCUCUAUUCUUUGUCAGACGAGAGAAUCCAGUGCACAGGUAAAUGAUGUUACAAAUGCUCUGUCCAUACCUUUAGGAGACAUGCAGUACAGAAGAAUCCAUUGCACAGUCACUUACCUCUCUCUCUUGCAUGGAAACAGCAACAGAAAUCUUUUACUGCAUAGUAUGUGAUUAGUCUCCUGUGCCUACUAAGAGCUAAGCUCAUUUAGCAGCAAUGCUGACUCAAGUCAGUCACAAGACAAGACACAAAUCCAAGGAAAACCAGGCUUGGUUAAGCACAGUGUUCACAGAUCUGCUUGUUAUCAAAACUUUCCAGCAUGUCUGCAGGCUGUUCUUUACAGACACAUUUAAACAAUUAUAGAACAGUGGCUUUUUCUCCAAUACUUAUUUGCAGUCUGUUAAUUCUUAAAACCUGUUAUGAGCAAUGGAAAAAAUCAGCAGAGCUGAGGACAACUGUCACAGAGAAUCAUGGAAGUGUUUUUCACUAGAAAAGAGCAGUGACAUUCUCUGAACUCGUGUCUCUGAAUUGAAGAGAAAAAAAAUCAAUGCAAGUGCAAGCUUACCUUAAGUAGGUCUUACCCAAUAGCUGCUGGUCCAGAAUGAUGAGAUGUACGCAGAAGAAGGAGAUGGUGGGCAGAGUCAGGCUUCCUCAGGGAACAUGUUUUCCCAGUGCUCUGGUGUUCUGGGAAAGAUGGAUGCAGCACAGACAAGAUCCAGGGAAGAUGAAGUGCAUAGAAGGAGGUUUACAAGCUAAAUCUUGGUGUUCGUACAGAGGAAGGAGAUAGGUUUAUGCAGGUGUGCUGUAACGAACUGAGCAGUGUAGGAGAUUUUAAAUGUGAGGCAACAUAAUGAUUGGAUUCAUUCUGUUAACAAAAGCCUUUGAGUCUCAGACUUCUGCAGUGGGCUUUUAAAGGUGGCCUCUAAACCCGUUCUCUUUGUGCCCCAUUCAUACUCUUACACGGUUACAUUCUUUCCAGGAACAGUGGUGAGUCUGCAGGUACCUACCUCUCUCAUGCUCUGUAUUAGAGGUCCUUGCAUGUGUUAGCUGCACUUUAUUAUUGUUUUUGCAGCUUAUAGUUUAUAUGUUAAUUCCGCUGUUGCCUGGCUCUAGCAAAAAUGUGCUGCUUUUUGAUGAGAACUGAGUAAUCUAGGAGAAGUCUCCACUUCAGUUGUAACCUUUCUCACAGCUGAAGAAAUCUGGCUACUGGCUGCUGGGACACAGGCUACACAGGCUACAGGUACAAGUCUUGAAACUGAAAAAGCUCCAGGUUUCUUUCCAGCUAUCCCCAAGUGCAAAUCACUAUAAUCUGUCCUUGUUUUUCCCUUCAAGUAAACAAACAGCUUUCAAAACUGAUAUAAAUCUUUUUCUUCCUGUCUUUGAAAUCCUUAAGAUGUUAUCCAAAGAACAUACCAUUUUUUGACUUUCACUUUGUUACCUUUUUAUCUUGUAUUAAUUUUCUCCUACAUUAUAAGUUACAUUUAUUUCCCUUUGUCUCUCUCCCAGUGGAGUCAACAUCCUCUGGGCAUCUAUUCUUUCCCUGUUUGUAGGGGAGUGAUGGCCCUCUUCUGUGGCAGAAAAAAACCAGCCAACAACUCAUCAGUUAAACCCCUAGGAAAUGCAUUGUAUUUAAAAGGUCUUCCAGCCUGAGGUAGAGAUGAGGAUUUCAAAUGUGCUUGCUAUACCAUUUGCUUUUUUUGCCCUUUUCCUCUCAGAUUUCAAAUCAAGGCAGAAAAGGUGCAUGGGUACACUUAAAAUAUGGAACUUUCUGUCCAGCAGCAAGAAAACCAGAGAGAAAAAAAAGUGCCUGUUACAUUUAGUAUAAUUGCAAUCCUUAUCUUGCAAUCUAACAUCAACAAAACUUUGUUGAUUUCUCAUGAUAAAUGAUUGAUCUAAGAAAAAAACAUAAGGAGAGUUCAUAUUUUAAAAGUACAGUGAAGAGGCAGACUGUCCCAAACUGCUUUGGAACACCAUCCCAAAAGGAAUUGCCUCUUUUGCUGUUGGAAUUUUGCAAAGGAAUUGCUUCCUCUGCUGCCAUUCAUUGGAUCUGCCUCCAUCAUGGUUCCCUGUAGAUGCUUAGGAUGCUUGCCAUCACAUUUAAGAAUGUAUUUUUCAGACUCACAGGAUCUGCUGCUUAUCUAGACUUUUUAUUUCUCUGUGGUGCUCUUAACAGACUGUCUAUGACUCAAGGCUAGUGCCGAUGACUGUUAAUCUUUCUAGUGUGUUUGGCAGAAAGAGUUACAUUGCUUUUGAGAUAACCUUCACCAGUAGAUUUUUAAUCAAGGGAUCAGCAAAUGAAACGUGGAGCAAGUGACAGAACCACUCUGUUCACUCCCAGUUUCAGGCUGCCAAAGGCUGCCUCGCGCAGACAGCAACUUUCAUAUGCAUCAGUAGGGAAGCAUUACCACAAUUAGAAUUAAAGAACCAUCUAAAUGAAGAAGGGCCCUGACACCCCUUAGAGGAGUUCUUUUGUGUAAUUGUUAAGGUUUUUAAGAAAGCAUUCAAGACCGAGCAUUUCUGUCCAAACAGGCCUCUUUCUGAGAGGAGAUUGAAGGUCUGCUGUUAUUUUAAAGCUACAGGUUCUAAAAUGCCAUGACUGGCGCAGAGUCAGUCUUCAUCUCCUAUCUUCUUUAGAUUUCUUUUCAAAAAUUCAUACUUUUCCCUUCUCACUUUCCAUGGAAAAAAUCAGAAAACUUGAUUAAGAAGGAAAACAAUAAGGUAGACAAGAUCGCUGAAGUAAAUUAGGGUUUGCACCAAGGCAGUGCUUGUAAGUUUUGCUUGGAAGGUAGGUCUGGGGCAUAUACCUGUAGCAAAAGGAGAGCCCUUGGGGUUUUGACAUGGGACUUGGAUAUGUGUCUGUGGUUGUGGUUUGCACUUUUGGUUAUGCUACUCUGUACGACUGAGGCAUUGGCGCCUCUUUGAAUCAUUUAUGGACUCAUCCAUUUGAAAAAUAUUGUUUAAAAAAAUAACAUUGUCAGAAGUUUUUAUAAACAAAUAUGGUGGUCUGUUUAAAAGAUGUUAUUAUGUAAUCCAAUUUUGCUUUUAAAAAAGAAACAUAGAUGGUGUGGAUAAACUGCAUUUUUAGGCAUUGCUAUAUUCACUUCUUUAUUUGUUUUUAAACUGCUUCUUCUCCUUUGUACUUGGGAGAAAUCUGGUCAGAAUGCAAUGGCCUUUCUUCCCUUUCUACAACAAACUUCUGUUUCCUCUGCUGGUUAGCUGGGGUUAAUCAUCUUAGAGUGCAUCUCACUGGGAUGAAGAACUUUGUUUCUGGCUCUGAAUAUAGGCAGUCAUCUUGCUUCCACACCUGUCAAUCUGUUCUUGCCUUCAUUACCUGUUCUUUAUACAACAUCAUUUUCCUGAAGAAUGCAAAACACUUUCCCAUAAGAAAGCAUGAGGAACAGUGAAGUUAGGGGUUGUACUGGCUGCUGCAGAGUGAAUUGGUAAACAUAAAACUAGAGCUGUUUUGGCUUGUCAGUUUUGUAUCAUGAGUGCCGAUUUAGACAAUGCAAUCCCUUUCUUUUCUGAUAACCAUCUUUUAUAGCUUAGAAGGUGGUUCUGGCACACGUGCCUAUCUGUGAUCAAGACCUGGUUUUCAGUAGCACAAUACAGAUUGGUUUUACAUUACUUUGGCGAAUGAGAAGGUUACAUGAGGUGCUCGCUAAUAUAGCGGUAUUUCACAUGGAUUUUUAGCCACCUUUGUGCUUGUGAUUAUCGUGGUAAGUUUCAAGAGCAGGUGAAAAAUAACAAUAUUCCAUGCUGUAGGAAUUCAUACAUUAUUUUCUAACUUUGUCAAAAUGAUCUGUGUGAAUGUUACACUGAAGGGUAUUAUAUCUAUGAAAAAAUACUAAAAUACUGUGUACUCUAGUGGUGUGCCUGAUACUGGUUCUGAGCAAGAGGAGGAGAUCAUAGGCCUCUUCUAUAUCUGUUUGCUUAGUCAUAU